rnacentral:sRNA from 1 species
UGGUGAAUUUGGGUCUGUCCCGGGUGGACGACGCCGUGGCUGCCAAGCACCCGGCACUGGCAUGGCCUUUGGCUUGCAGAUGUUCAUUCAGAGGAAGUUUCCAUACCCUUUGCAGUGGAGCCUCCUAGUGGCCGUGGUUGCAGGCUCUGUGGUCAGCUACGGGGUGACGAGAGUGGAGUCGGAGAAAUGCAACAACCUCUGGCUCUUCCUGGAGACCGGGCAGCUCCCCAAAGACAGGAGCACAGAUCAGAGAAGCUAGGAGAGCUCCAGCAGGGGCACAGAGGAUUGGGGGCAGGAGGAGUCUGGAACACAGCCUUCAUGCCCCCUGACCCCAGGCCGACCCUCCCCACACCCUAGGGUACCCCAGUCGUAUCCUCUGUCCGCAUGCGUGGCCAGGCCUGACAAACACCUGCAGACGGCUGCUGCCCCAACCUGGGACCUGCCCAGGAGGUUGGAGCAGAAAGGGCUCUCCCUGGGGUGGUGUUUCUCCUCUAGGGUAUUGGGAUGCAUGUUCUGCACUGCCAGCAGAGAGGGUGUGUCUGGACACGGGGUAGAAGGGGCCUGUACACUCUGUCAUUUCCUUUCUAGCCCCUGCAUCUCCGACAAGUCCAAGGUGACAGCUGGUGCUAGGGGCGUGGGGUUAAUAAAUGGCUUAUCCUUCUCUCC